AAGUUGAUCCUGGCUCAGGAUGAACGCUGGCGGCGUGCUUAACACAUGCAAGUCGAACGAGACCCUUCGGGGUUAAGUGGCGGACGGGUGAGUAACGCGUGAGGAUCUGCCUACAGGAUGGGGACAACAGCGGGAAACUGCUGCUAAAACCCAAUGUGCCGAGAGGUGAAAUAUUUAUAGCCUGUAGAUGAGCUCGCGUCUGAUUAGCUAGUUGGUGAAGUAAUGGUUUACCAAGGCGACAAUCAGUAGCUGGUCUGAGAGGACGACCAGCCACACUGGAACUGAGACACGGUCCAGACUCCUACGGGAGGCAGCAGUGGGGAAUUUUGGACAAUGGGCGAAAGCCUGAUCCAGCAAUGCCGCGUGAGUGAAGAAGGCCUUCGGGUUGUAAAGCUCUUUUGUCAGGAAGAAACGGUGAAAGCUAAUAUCUUUUGCUAAUGACGGUACCUGAAGAAUAAGCACCGGCUAACUACGUGCCAGCAGCCGCGGUAAUACGUAGGGUGCAAGCGUUAAUCGGAAUUACUGGGCGUAAAGCGUGCGCAGGCGGUUUUGUAAGUCUGUCGUGAAAUCCCCGGGCUCAACCUGGGAAUUGCGAUGGAGACUGCAAGGCUAGAAUCUGGCAGAGGGGGGUAGAAUUCCACGUGUAGCAGUGAAAUGCGUAGAGAUGUGGAGGACACGAUGGCGAGGCAGCCCCUGGGUCAGAUUGACGCUCAUGCACGAAAGCGUGGGGAGCAAACAGGAUUAGAUACCCUGGUAGUCACGCCCUAAACGAUGUCUACUAGUUGUCGGGUUUAAUUAACUUUGGUAACGCAGCU
rnacentral:rRNA from 1 species